AGAUCAGUGUUCUCAACCUUAGUGAUGUUGCUGUCCUCUCAUGCAGUUCUUCAUGUUGUGGUGACCCCCAACCAUAACAUGAUUUUCAUUCCUACUUCAUAGCUGCAACUUUACUACUGUUAUUCAUGAUCAUAUCACUUGCUGCGAGGUUCCUGCCUGAUGCUCCAGGAGUUCUGAUAUUACAGCCGGUGUAGACCAUUUUUCAAUCAGGAGAUGUUGUGAAAACCUACAAUGAGAAAGACUUCUGAGGUGCCCAAUCUACUUCAGAAAGGCACAGGUGUGACAGUGUUCUUUUUUAUUCUGUUCUCUGUAAGGAGUAACUGUGGCCAUGGAGGCGUGUCUAGCCUGUGGCCUAAAGACCGCUUGCAUUUAGGGAUAGCUGUGAAUGUGACCCAUUACAAAAUUGUGAACUUAAUAUACUACACACACACACACACACACACACACACAAAUGCACUUGUAUGUGCACAAACACAAUAUUAAAAUAAAAAAAUGAAUGCAGAGGAAAAUAGAAAAAUUAAAUAAAGCAAUACAGUCUGGAAA
rnacentral:lncRNA from 1 species